AACGAACGCUGGCGGCAGGCUUAACACAUGCAAGUCGAGCGCCUCGCAAGAGGAGCGGCAGACGGGUGAGUAACGCGUGGGAACCUACCCAAUGGUACGGAACAACUCAGGGAAACUUGAGCUAAUACCGUAUGUGCCCUUCGGGGGAAAGAUUUAUCGCCAUUGGAUGGGCCCGCGUCGGAUUAGCUAGUUGGUGGGGUAAUGGCCUACCAAGGCGACGAUCCGUAGCUGGUCUGAGAGGAUGAUCAGCCACACUGGGACUGAGACACGGCCCAGACUCCUACGGGAGGCAGCAGUGGGGAAUAUUGGACAAUGGGCGCAAGCCUGAUCCAGCCAUGCCGCGUGAGUGAUGAAGGCCUUAGGGUUGUAAAGCUCUUUCAGCUGGGAAGAUAAUGACGGUACCAGCAGAAGAAGCCCCGGCUAACUUCGUGCCAGCCGCCGCGGUAACAC
rnacentral:rRNA from 1 species